rnacentral:rRNA from 1 species
CACGUAGGGCGCAAGCGUUGUCCGGAAUUAUUGGGCGUAAAGAGCUCGUAGGUGGCCUGUCGCGUCGGCUGUGAAAACUCGGGGCUCAACUCCGAGCUUGCAGUCGAUACGGGCAGGCUAGAGUUCGGCAGGGGAGACUGGAAUUCCUGGUGUAGCGGUGAAAUGCGCAGAUAUCAGGAGGAACACCUGUGGUGUAGACGGCUUUCUGGACCGUAGCUGACGCUGAGACACGAAAGCGUGGGUAGCAAACAGG